rnacentral:rRNA from 1 species
UCGACGAGAGGACAUGGGAAGCUUGCUUCCUAUGAAAUCGAGUGGCAAACGGGUGAGUAACGCGUAAACAACCUGCCCUUCGGAUGGGGAUAACAGCCGGAAACGGCUGCUAAUACCGAAUACGAUCUUUUCGUCGCAUGACGGAAAGAAGAAAGGAUGGCCUCUAUACAAAGCUAUCGCCGAAGGAGGGGUUUGCGUCUGAUUAGCUGGUUGGAGGGGUAACGGCCCAACAAGGCGAUGAUCAGUAGCCGGUCUGAGAGGAUGAACGGCCACAUUGGGACUGAGACACGGCCCAGACUCCUACGGGAGGCAGCAGUGGGGAAUCUUCCGCAAUGGACGAAAGUCUGACGGAGCAACGCCGCGUGAGUGAAGAAGGUCUUCGGAUUGUAAAGCUCUGUUAUACGGGACGAAAAAGACGGAUGCCAACAGUAUCCGUCCGUGACGGUACCGUAAGAGAAAGCCACGGCUAACUACGUGCCAGCAGCCGCGGUAAUACGUAGGUGGCAAGCGUUGUCCGGAAUUAUUGGGCGUAAAGGGCGCGCAGGCGGUUCGGUAAGUCUGUCUUAAAAGUGCGGGGCUUAACCCCGUGAGGGGACGGAAACUGUCGAACUUGAGUGUCGGAGAGGAAAGCGGAAUUCCUAGUGUAGCGGUGAAAUGCGUAGAUAUUAGGAGGAACACCGGUGGCGNNNGCGGCNNNCUGGACGACAACUGACGCUG